rnacentral:rRNA from 1 species
ACACAUGCAAGUCGAGGGGCAGCAUGAACUUAGCUUGCUAAGUUUGAUGGCGACCGGCGCACGGGUGAGUAACACGUAUCCAACCUGCCGAUGACUCGGGGAUAGCCUUUCGAAAGAAAGAUUAAUACCCGAUGGCAUAGUUCUUCCGCAUGGUAGAACUAUUAAAGAAUUUCGGUCAUCGAUGGGGAUGCGUUCCAUUAGGUUGUUGGCGGGGUAACGGCCCACCAAGCCUUCGAUGGAUAGGGGUUCUGAGAGGAAGGUCCCCCACAUUGGAACUGAGACACGGUCCAAACUCCUACGGGAGGCAGCAGUGAGGAAUAUUGGUCAAUGGACGAGAGUCUGAACCAGCCAAGUAGCGUGAAGGAUGACUGCCCUAUGGGUUGUAAACUUCUUUUAUACGGGAAUAAAGUGAGGCACGUGUGCCUUUUUGUAUGUACCGUAUGAAUAAGGAUCGGCUAACUCCGUGCCAGCAGCCGCGGUAAUACGGAGGAUCCGAGCGUUAUCCGGAUUUAUUGGGUUUAAAGGGAGCGUAGGCGGACGCUUAAGUCAGUUGUGAAAGUUUGCGGCUCAACCGUAAAAUUGCAGUUGACACUGGGUGUCUUGAGUACAGUAGAGGCAGGCGGAAUUCGUGGUGUAGCGGUGAAAUGCUUAGAUAUCACGAAGAACUCCGAUUGCGAAGGCAGCUUGCUGGACUGUAACUGACGCUGAUGCUCGAAAGUGUGGGUAUCAAACAGGAUUAGAUACCCUGGUAGUCCACACAGUAAACGAUGAAUACUCGCUGUUUGCGAUAUACAGUAAGCGGCCAAGCGAA